UCGUAUAGUGCGAUUGAUUUAGCGGCCGCCGUUCGCUCUUGUGCCAGCCGCCGCGUGAUUCCAGCUCCAAUAGCGUAUAUUAAAGUUGUUGCGGCUAACAAGCUCGCAGUUGAACCUUGGGCCUGGCUGGCCGGUCCGCCUCACCGCGUGCACUGUCCCGGCCGGGCCUUUCCCUCUGUGGAACCCCAUACCCUUCACUGGGCGUGGCGGGGAAACAGGACAUUUACUUUGAAAAAAUUAGAGUGCUCCAGGCAGGCCUAUGCUCGAAUACAUUAGCAUGGAAUAAUAAAAUAUGACGCGCGGUUCUAUUUUGUUGGUUUAUAGGACCGCCGUAAUGAUUAAUAGGGACAGUCCGGGGCAUCAGUAUUCAACUGUCAGAGGUGAAAUUCUUGGAUCAGUUGAAGACUAACUACUGCGAAAGCAUUUGCCAAGGAUGUUUUCAUUAAUCAGGUACGAAAGUUAGGGGAUCGAAGACGAUCAGAUACCGUCGUAGUCUUAACCAUAAACUAUGGCGGAGGAGGGGGGGGGACGGUGUUAUUCAUGACCCGUUCGGCAACAUAAAAGAAAUUUUGGUGCGUUGGUCUUCAAAAAAGAAGCGAAGCUGAGGUAGGGGGGCGCGGGCGGCCGCGAGUGUGUACUCUUGUUUUAAUUUGGCGCACACGGCACAAACUCACCAGUACAGACGACAACAGCGAUUGAUUGCUAUUCUCUCGUUGAUGUUGGGGAGGGCGAUGCAUGGCUCGUUCUUAGUUGUGUGUUAAUAGACUGAUUAUAGGAAUACGACGAAACCGUGACCCUGCCUCACUUGGCGCCCGAUGGUCCGUUCAGUCGUGGUUUGGUUAAGAGAACAUGACGAGAUCAAAGACGAGAAGAAAUUUUAGAU
rnacentral:rRNA from 1 species